UACGAAGGGGACUAGCGUUGUUCGGAUUUACUGGGCGUAAAGCGCGUGUAGGCGGAUUUGUAAGUUGGGGGUGAAAUCCCGAGGCUCAACCUCGGAACUGCCUCCAAAACUACAAGUCUGGAGCAAGAUAGAGGCAAGUGGAAUUGCGAGUGUAGAGGUGAAAUUCGUAGAUAUUCGCAGGAACACCAGUGGCGAAGGCGACUUGCUGGAUCUUUGCUGACGCUGAGACGCGAAAGCGUGGGGAGCAAACAGG
rnacentral:rRNA from 1 species